AUUGAACGCUGGCGGCAGGCCUAACACAUGCAAGUCGAGCGGAUGAAGAGAGCUUGCUCUCUGAUUCAGCGGCGGACGGGUGAGUAAUGCCUAGGAAUCUGCCUGGUAGUGGGGGACAACGUUUCGAAAGGAACGCUAAUACCGCAUACGUCCUACGGGAGAAAGUGGGGGAUCUUCGGACCUCACGCUAUCAGAUGAGCCUAGGUACGAUUAGCUAGUUGGUGAGGUAAAGGCUCACCAAGGCGACGAUCGUUAACUGGUCUGAGAGGAUGAUCAGUCACACUGGAACUGAGACACGGUCCAGACUCCUACGGGAGGCAGCAGUGGGGAAUAUUGGACAAUGGGCGAAAGCCUGAUCCAGCCAUGCCGCGUGUGUGAAGAAGGUCUUCGGAUUGUAAAGCACUUUAAGUUGGGAGGAAGGGCAGUAAGUUAAUACCUUGCUGUUUUGACGUUACCGACAGAAUAAGCACCGGCUAACUUCGUGCCAGCCGCCACCGUAAAAC
rnacentral:rRNA from 1 species